rnacentral:rRNA from 1 species
GGUUUGAUCAUGGCUCAGAUUGACCGCUGGGCGGAUGCUUUACACAUGCAAGUCGAACGGCAGCACGGACUUCGGUCUGGUGGCGAGUGGCGAACGUGAGUAAUGACGUGGUGGAACGCCUAGUAAGGUGGGGGAUAACUACGCGAAAGGUAGCUAAUACCGCAUACUGCCUUUCGGGAAAGCGGGGGACCUUCGGUUUCGCAAUUAUUAGGAGCGGCCGGAUAUCGGAUUAGCUGAAGUUGGAGGUAACGGCUCACCAAGGACGAUCCGUAGCUGGUUUGAGAGGACGACCAGCCACACUGGGAUCGAGACACGGCCCAGAUUCCUACGGAGGCAGCAGUGGGGAAUUUUGACAAUGGGGAAACCCCGAUCCAGCCAUCCUGGCGUGUGCGAUGCAGCCUUCGGGGUUGUAAAGCACUUUGGCAGAGUGAAACGGGGCACGGGAUAAUACUCCUGGGUGCAACUGACGGUACCUGCAGAAUAAGCACCGGCUAACUACGCGUGCCAGCAAGCCGCGGUAACAUGUGUAGGGCAAGCGUUAACGGAAUUACUGGGCGCAAAGCGUGCGUGCGGCGGUUCGGAAAGAAAGAUGAAAUCCCAGAGCUUAACUUUGGAACUGCAUUUUUAACUACCGAGCUAGAGUGUGCCGAGGAGGUGAAUUCCGCGUAGAAAGUGAAAUGUAGAUAUGCGAGGAACACUCCGAUGGCGAAAGGCAGCCUCCUGGGGAUAACAAAUCGACGCUCAUGCACGAAAGCGUGGGGAGCAAACAGGAUUAGAUAGAAUUCUGGUAGUCCACGCCCCAAACGAUGUCAACUAGCUGUUGGGGCCUUCGGGCCUUGGUAGCGCAGCUAACGCGUGAAGUUGACCGCCUGGGGAGUACGGUCGCAAGAUUAAAACUCAAAGAAUUGACGGGACCCGCACAAGCGGUGGAUGAUGUGAUUUUCUCAAUUCGAUGCAACGCGAAAAACCUUACCUACCCUUGACAUGUCUGGAAUCCCGGGAAGAGAUGCCUGGGAGUGCUCGCAAGAGAACCGGAACACAGGUGCUGCAUGGCUGUCGUCAGCUCGUGUCGUGAGAUGUUGGGUUAAGUCCCGCAACGAGCGCAACCCUUGUCAUUAUUGCUACGAAAGGGCACUCUAAUGAGACUGCCGGUGAUAAACUGGAGGAAGGUGGGGAUGACGUCGCAGUCCCUUUAUUCCCGGCGGUAGGGCUUCACACGUCAUACAAUGGUCGGGACAGAGGGUCGCCAACCCGCGAGAGGGGACAAUCCCAGAAACCCGAUCGUAGUCCGGAUCGCAGUCUGCAACUCGACUGCGUGAAGUCGGAAUCGCUAGUAAUCGCGGAUCAGCAUGUCGCGGUGAAUACGUUCCUGGUCUUGUACACACCGCCCGUCACACCAUGGGAGUGGGUUUUACCAGAAGUAGUUAGCCUAACCGUAUGAGGGCGAUUACCACGGUAGGAUUCAUGACUGGGGUGAAGUCGUAACAAGGUAA